CACGUAGGGAGCAAGCGUUGUCCGGAUUUAUUGGGCGUAAAGAGCUCGUAGGCGGUUCGAUAAGUCAGGUGUGAAAACUCUGGGCUCAACUCAGAGACGCCACUUGAUACUGUCGUGACUUGAAUCUGGUAGGGGAGUGUGGAAUUCCCGGUGUAGCGGUGAAAUGCGCAGAUAUCGGGAGGAACACCAGUGGCGAAGGCGGCGCUCUGGGCCAGUAUUGACGCUGAGGAGCGAAAGCGUGGGGAGCGAACAGG
rnacentral:rRNA from 1 species